GGCAUGGUGGCUCAGUGGUUAGAGCGCCCGUCUGAACGGGAGGUCGUGGGUUCGAAUACCGGCCGAGUCA
rnacentral:tRNA from 1 species